GCCGAGCCUAGUAACGAGAGCUUGUGACCCAACAUGGGGGCAUUAAAGGUGGAAUGUGGGAAGGUCUCUUGUUA
rnacentral:sRNA from 1 species